rnacentral:tRNA from 1 species
GGGGUUUUAGCUCAAUUGGUAGAGCGUAUGCUUUGCACGCCUAAGGUUAUCGGUUCAAUUCCGGUAAACUCCA